rnacentral:rRNA from 1 species
UUAAGUGACGAUAGCCUAGGAGAUACACCUGUACCCAUACCGAACACAGUAGUUAAGCCCUAGAACGCCGGAAGUAGUUGGGGGUUGCCCCCUGUGAGAUAUGGAAG